rnacentral:rRNA from 1 species
ACACCGGCAGCUCAAGUGGUGGCCAGUUUUUAUUGGGCCUAAAGCGUUCGUAGCCGGCUUGAUAAGUCUCUGGUGAAAUCCCAUAGCUUAACUGUGGGAAUUGCUGGAGACACUAUUAGGCUUGAGGCCGGGAGAGGUUAGGGGUACUCCCAGGGUAGGGGUGAAAUCCUAUAAUCCUGGGAGGACCACCUGUGGCGAAGGCGCCUAACUGGAACGGACCUGACGGUGAGUAACGAAAGCCAGGGGCGC